GACGAACGCUGGCGGCGUGCUUAACACAUGCAAGUCGAACGGAAAGGCCCUGCUUUUGUGGGGUGCUCGAGUGGCGAACGGGUGAGUAACACGUGAGUAACCUGCCCUUGACUUUGGGAUAACUUCAGGAAACUGGGGCUAAUACCGGAUAGGAGCUCCUGCUGCAUGGGGGGGGUUGGAAAGUUUCGGCGGUUGGGGAUGGACUCGCGGCUUGUCAGCUUGUUGGUGGGGGAGUGGCUUACCAAGGCUUUGACGGGUAGCCGGCCUGAGAGGGUGACCGGCCACAUUGGGACUGCGCUACGGCCCAGACUCCUACGGGGGGCAGCAGUGGGAAAUAUUGCGCAAUGGGCGGAAGCCUGAUGCAGCAACGCCGCGUGCGGGAUGACGGCCUUCGGGUUGUAAACCGCUUUCGCCUGUGACGAAGCGUGAGUGACGGUAAUGGGUAAAGAAACACCGGCUAACUACGUG
rnacentral:rRNA from 1 species